rnacentral:rRNA from 1 species
AGAGUUUGAUCCUGGCUCAGAACGAACGCUGGCGGCAGGCUUAACACAUGCAAGUCGAACGCCCCGCAAGGGGAGUGGCAGACGGGUGAGUAACGCGUGGGAAUCUACCUUGUUCUACGGAACAACACAGGGAAACUUGUGCUAAUACCGUAUACGCCCUAAGGGGGAAAGAUUUAUCGGAAUAAGAUGAGCCCGCGUAAGAUUAGCUAGUUGGUGGGGUAAUGGCCUACCAAGGCGACGAUCUUUAGCUGGUCUGAGAGGAUGAUCAGCCACACUGGGACUGAGACACGGCCCAGACUCCUACGGGAGGCAGCAGUGGGGAAUAUUGGACAAUGGGCGCAAGCCUGAUCCAGCCAUGCCGCGUGAGUGAUGAAGGCCUUAGGGUUGUAAAGCUCUUUCAGUGGGGAAGAUAAUGACGGUACCCACAGAAGAAGCCCCGGCUAACUUCGUGCCAGCAGCCGCGGUAAUACGAAGGGGGCUAGCGUUGUUCGGAUUUACUGGGCGUAAAGCGCACGUAGGCGGAUCGUUAAGUCAGGGGUGAAAUCCUGGAGCUCAACUCCAGAACUGCCUUUGAUACUGGCGAUCUCGAGUCCGGAAGAGGUGAGUGGAACUCCUAGUGUAGAGGUGGAAUUCGUAGAUAUUAGGAAGAACACCAGUGGCGAAGGCGACUUCCUGGACAAUUGCUGACACUCAGGCACGAAAGCGUGGGGAGCAAAAGGGAUUAGAUACCCCAGUAGUCC